rnacentral:tRNA from 1 species
CGGGCUUUGCUUCUGAGCAGUGCUUAUUGACGCCGGGGAUCAAGUGGUCACAGGUUCAAAUCCUGUCAGCCCGACCA